rnacentral:rRNA from 1 species
CCUACGGGUGGCACCAGUGGGGAAUAUUGCACAAUGGGCGCAAGCCUGAUGCAGCCAUGCCGCGUGUGUGAAGAAGGCCUUCGGGUUGUAAAGCACUUUCAGCGGGGAGGAAGGCGAUAAGGUUAAUAACCUUGUCGAUUGACGUUACCCGCAGAAGAAGCACUGGCUAACUCCGUGCCAGCAGCCGCGGUAAUACGGAGGGUGCAAGCGUUAAUCGGAAUUACUGGGCGUAAAGCGCAUGCAGGCGGCCUGUUAAGUCAGAUGUGAAAGCCCGGGGCUUAACCUCGGAAUUGCAUUUGAAACUGGCAGGCUAGAGUCUUGUAGAGGGGGGUAGAAUUUCAGGUGUAGCGGUGAAAUGCGUAGAGAUCUGAAGGAAUACCAGUGGCGAAGGCGGCCCCCUGGACAAAGACUGACGCUCAGAUGCGAAAGCGUGGGGAGCAAACAGGAUUAGAUACCCGCGUAGUC